GACGAACGCUGGCGGCGUGCCUAACACAUGCAAGUCGAGCGGAGUCGAUUGACGGAAGCCUUCGGGCGGAAGAUGGUUGACUUAGCGGCGGAUGGGUGAGUAACGCGUGGGCAACCUGCCUCGAAGACCGGGAUAACAGCCCGAAAGGGCUGCUAAUACCGGAUGUGGUCAAGGAUCCGCAUGGAUUUUUGAUUAAAGGGGAAACCCGUUUCGAGAUGGGCCCGCGUCCUAUCAGCUAGUUGGUGAGGUAAAAGCUCACCAAGGCGACGACGGGUAGCCGGCCUGAGAGGGUGACCGGCCACACUGGAACUGAGACACGGUCCAGACUCCUACGGGGGCAGCAGUGGGGAAUCUUCCACAAUGGGCGAAAGCCUGAUGGAGCGACGCCGCGUGAGCGAAGAAGGCCUCGGUUGUAAAGCUCUGUCUGAGGGACGAAGGAAGUGACGGUACCUCCGGAGGAAGCCACGGCGUAACUACGUG
rnacentral:rRNA from 1 species